GGCUCAGAUUGAACGCUGGCGGCAUGCCUUACACAUGCAAGUCGAACGGCAGCACGGGGGCAACCCUGGUGGCGAGUGGCGAACGGGUGAGUAAUAUAUCGGAACGUACCUUAUCGUGGGGGAUAACGCAGCGAAAGCUGCGCUAAUACCGCAUACGCCCUGAGGGGGAAAGCGGGGGACCGUAAGGCCUCGCGCGAUUAGAGCGGCCGAUAUCUGAUUAGCUUGUUGGUGGGGUAAAAGCCCACCAAGGCGACGAUCAGUAGCUGGUCUGAGAGGACGAUCAGCCACACUGGGACUGAGACACGGCCCAGACUCCUACGGGAGGCAGCAGUGGGGAAUUUUGGACAAUGGGGGCAACCCUGAUCCAGCAAUGCCGCGUGAGUGAAGAAGGCCUUCGGGUUGUAAAGCUCUUUUGUCAGGGAAGAAACAGCAGCUCUAACACAGUCUGCGAAUGACGGUACCUGAAGAAUAAGCACCGGCUAACUACGUG
rnacentral:rRNA from 1 species